CCUACGGGCGGCAGCAGUCGAGAAUCAUUCACAAUGGGGGAAACCCUGAUGGUGCGACGCCGCGUGGGGGAAUGAAGGUCUUCGGAUUGUAAACCCCUGUCAUGUGGGAGCAAAUUAAAAAGAUAGUACCACAAGAGGAAGAGACGGCUAACUCUGUGCCAGCAGCCGCGGUAAUACAGAGGUCUCAAGCGUUGUUCGGAAUCACUGGGCGUAAGGCGUGCGUAGGCGGUUUCGUAAGUCGUGUGUGAAAGGCGCGGGCUCAACCCGCGGACGGCACAUGAUACUGCGAGACUAGAGUAAUGGAGGGGGAACCGGAAUUCUCGGGGUAGCAGUGAAAUGCGUAGAUAUCGAGAGGAACACUCGUGGCGAAGGCGGGUUCCUGGACAUUAACUGACGCUGAGGCACGAAGGCCAGGGGAGCGAAAGGGAUUAGAUACCCUUGUAGUC
rnacentral:rRNA from 1 species